rnacentral:lncRNA from 1 species
CAUAUCUUAGUCAUGGUAAUGCUGUCAUAAUAAGAAGUGAACUCAAUGUUUUUGCUUCUUGUAGACCAUCAUGAGCAUGAUCACACCCAUGACCCUGGUGUUUCCUCUGUUAAGCAUUGUUUGCGAAGGGGAGAUGGAUCUCUAAAAGUAAAAGGUCAGACUUAAAAUUGUCUCGCAUGCAUUUAUAUAUUUUCUAAAGAUAGCUAAGAUGAAUUUCUAGGUUUUUUAUGGCCCUGCAUAUGAUGGGGUUGUGUACAUCGGGGUAAACAUCUCACAAUUGAUUCUCCUAAUGAACGUAGUGCUGACACUGACAUAUGCCAGAUGAAGGGACUACUCUCUAUCAGUGGAAUGCCUAAACGCUUUGCCUUUCAGGUUUGUGCUACUCUAACCUAUAAUUUAUACUGGUGAAAACAAUGUCGUAAUUUCUUUUAGUGACAUGUUAAAAGGGAUACAGUGGGUCCAAACAGUCAUAUAAAUUUAUUUGUUGGUAGGAAAGACAUCUCUCGUCUAUAAAGAAAGCAGCCUAGCUAUCUUUCCUUUCAUUUUCUUAUUAUUCGCCAUUUCAAUCUUGGGUCUCCAUGCCCAAGCACAAGCUGAUACCUGAAUAAUCAAUUUAUUUUUACUUCUAAUCUAGAUCAAGGAUUAUGCUCUUGAUUCUAGAGUGCCAUCGGACAAUUGCUUGGCCUGUUUGAAGAUUCGUUGUACAUAUAAGCUUAUGCAAGUUUUUCUUUCAGAUUUGCACAAAUGGGAGAACAAAUUGCUACGUGUUCUGCUGCCCUCUCGUUAUGGACUGCUUCCAUG